GACCAGUGAAGCGCAGUGAAGCAGUGGGAACCGGAAUAUCCAAAGAGUGGUUUGAAGGAGAAAGAAGCAUUGUGGCUUUAUAUCCUCUGGGCCUGGGUUUCCUGAAGUCACCACACAUAGAGGAGAGAGAAAAUGGCUGAGUUAAAGGUCAUAACAUUCACAUCUGAUAUUUCUUCCAAAUACAGACUGUUGUUGGCCUGAUCAUCACUCACACAUCCAGGCUUGUUACAUCUCCACGCCACUGAGUAUCAGGGAACCUGCCCCAAUAUUCACUACAUUUCUGGAUUUGGGAAUGAGUGUUCUUCAGAGGAUCCUCGCUGCCCAGGUUCCCUGCCAGAAGGACAGAAUAAUCCUCAGGUCUGCCCCUACAAUCUCUAUGCUGAGCAGCUCUCAGGAUCGGCUUUCACUUGUCCACGGAGCACCAAUAAGAGAAGCUGGCUGUAUAGGAUUCUACCUUCAGUUUCUCACAAGCCCUUUGAAUCCAUUGACGAAGGCCAAGUCACUCACAACUGGGAUGAAGUUGAUCCUGAUCCUAACCAGAUGGAAACCAUUUGAGAUUCCAAAAGCAUCUC
rnacentral:lncRNA from 1 species